rnacentral:rRNA from 1 species
AGUGAACGCUGGCGGUAGGCCUAACACACGCAAGUCGAACGGCAGCACAGUAAGAGCUCGCUCUUACGGGUGGCGAGUGGUGGAUGGGUGAGGAAUACAUCGGAAUCUACUUUUUCGUGGGGGAUAACGUAGGGAAACUUACGCUAAUACUGCAUACGACCUAAGGGUGAAAGCAGGGGACCUCCGGCUCUCGCACGAUCGAAUGAGCCGAUGUCGGAUUAGCUAGUUGGCGGGGUAAAGGCCCACCAAGGCGACGAUCCGUAGCUGGUCUGAGAGGAUGAUCAGCCACACUGGAACUGAGACACGGUCCAGACUCCUACGGGAGGCAGCAGUGGGGAAUAUUGGACAAUGGGCGCAAGCCUGAUCCAGCCAUGCCGCGUGGGUGAAGAAGGCCUUCGGGUUGUAAAGCCCUUUUGUUGGGGAAGAAAAGCAGCAGGUUAAUACCCCGCUGUUCUGACGGUACCCAAAGAAUAAGCACCGGCUAACUUCGUG